UAAGGAAUAUUGGUCAAUGGGCGAAAGCCUGAACCAGCCAUGCCGCGUGAAGGAUUAAGGUCCUCUGGAUUGUAAACUUCUUUUAUCUGGGACGAAAAAAGGGAAUUCUUUCUCACUUGACGGUACCAGAUGAAUAAGCACCGGCUAACUCCGUGCCAGCAGCCGCGGUAAUACGGAGGGUGCAAGCGUUAUCCGGAUUCACUGGGUUUAAAGGGUGCGUAGGCGGGCAGGUAAGUCAGUGGUGAAAUCCCCGAGCUUAACUCGGGAACUGCCAUUGAUACUAUCUGUCUUGAAUAUUGUGGAGGUAAGCGGAAUAUGUCAUGUAGCGGUGAAAUGCUUAGAUAUGACAUAGAACACCUAUUGCGAAGGCAGCUUACUACGCAUAUAUUGACGCUGAGGCACGAAAGCGUGGGGAUCAAACA
rnacentral:rRNA from 1 species